CCCCGCACAAGCAGCGGAGCGUGUGGUUAAUUCGAUGCUACACGAAGAACCUUACCAGGGUUUGACAUGCAAGUGGUAGGAAACUGAAAAGGGACCGACCCUUCGGGGAGCUUGCACAGGUGCUGCAUGGCUGUCGUCAGCUCGUGUCGUGAGAUGUUCGGUUAAGUCCGCUAACGAGCGCAACCCUCACUGUGUGUUAUAUGUGUCACACGGGACUGCCGGUUUUAAGCCGGAGGAAGGUGGGGAUGACGUCAAGUCCUCAUGGCCCUUAUAGGUGGGGCUACACACGUCAUACAAUGGCUGGUACAAAGGGUUGCCAACCCGCGAGGGGGAGCCAAUCCCAUAAAGCCAGUCGUAGUCCGGAUCGUAGUCUGCAACUCGACUACGUGAAGUCGGAAUCGCUAGUAAUCGUGGAUCAGAAUGUCACGGUGAAUACGUUCCCGGGUCUU
rnacentral:rRNA from 1 species